AUUGAACGCUGGCGGCAUGCCUAACACAUGCAAGUCGAACGGCAGCGCGGGUAGCAAUACCUGGCGGCGAGUGGCGGACGGGUGAGGAAUACAUCGGGAUCUGCCCCAUUGUGGGGGAUA
rnacentral:rRNA from 1 species